UACGGGGGGGGCAAGCGUUGUUCGGAAUUACUGGGCGUAAAGGGCUCGUAGGCGGCCAACUAAGUCGGACGUGAAAUCCCCAGGCUCAACCUGGGAACUGCGUCUGAUACUGGAUGGCUUGAAUCCGGGAGAGGGAUGCAGAAUUCCAGGUGUAGCGGUGAAAUGCGUAGAUAUCUGGAGGAAUACCGGUGGCGAAGGCGGCAUCCUGGACCGGUAUUGACGCUGAGGCGCGAAAGCCAGGGGAGCAAACGGG
rnacentral:rRNA from 1 species